UAGUAAAUUUCAAUGGAGGUCUUACUUAAUGUGUAACUCACUUACACUCUUCCAUAAUGAGUCCUUGCCAUGUGGAAGGCACUCUGAAGAAUACAAAUAAGACUGUAAGAUGUAAUUCCUACUUCCACAAAGUAAAGCCCCCUGCAUAUAUGUUUACUGAUGUAAUGCACCUUAAGGUUAAUGACUCAAUGUUCAGUAACUACCAGCAGGAAUUUUCCCAGUAUUCCACAGAGCAUGAAUGGAUCAGGGCAUAUUUGUUUUCAGUCUUGAUAGAGUUGGCUCUUUGAGUGCCGCAGCCGACAGUGAUAGCCCAGCCUCAGCCAAUGUUAACUAGACACAAGCUGCAGAAAAGGCAUGGUGUGAAGUUGAUGAAGAAACCAGUUGAUAUUCAAUAUUGUUCCUGCUUCAGGAGCAACUUACAAAUAACGUGGUGGAACAGAGGACAUACGUCUAGGUAGAUGAUAGUUCAAAGACAUUUGUGGCCAUUAUCAAAUGAAUAGUCUAGAAAAUAAUAAUUAGAACUCAUCAGGGACAAGAAAGAAUCCUAUGGGCAGGGGAAGAUCCUCAGAGGAUGUGGGAUGUGAGCCAAGCUCUGAAGGAAUAAUGUAGAUGGAACCCAGAAUUCCAAGAUUCCAACCUUACUUUCUAGUCAAAACUCUACCAAUUGCCAGUGGUGAAGCUGGUAUAAGCCACGUAUCUCUGAGCCAAUUUUCUUAUCAUCAAAGUGAAGACAAUAGCACCAGCCAUACCUUCCUUAGGGCGUUUUGCAGGCUAAAUGAGAUAGUGGGCAAUUGAAACUUGUUGUCAUCAAACAAGGUGAAGAGACUGGGCCUUUGAGAAUAAUUGCAUCUCUAUAGAGAAAUCAUGCUUUUACAGAAAAAUUUCUGUAGGAUCUCACCUAUCAGGUCCCUCGUUGGCUGCUCGUCAGAUUUCUCUCUUCAAUUCCAAGCGCAUCUUAUGUAAACAAUAGUGUCUAUGAUAGUGGAUGUGAUUGUGUGCUACCUGGAUCUCCUAGCUGAAAUCCUUCGAAGAAUUUCCUUCAGUCAAUGGGAGCCACCUCCCCUGAGGUUAUGGCUCCAGGUGAAGAUUAAACAGCUGUAGAAGUGUCAUCCAAGAUUGGCCAAUGCUGUUCCUGAGAGUCCUUCCUGGAGAGCCAUCUGCACACAGAUCUCAGUCUCAGAGUCUAUUUCCCAAUGAAUCUAAUCUGAGAGAUCUCUUCAUUUGCUGUUUUUUCCCUGUAUGAAAUAGUUACUUUGUUUUACUUUAUUUUAUUAAGUUCAGUGGUACAUGUGCAGGUGUGUUAUAUAGGUAAAUUGUGUGUCAUGGGGGUUUGGUGUACAAAUUAUUUCGUCACCCAGGUAAUAAGCAUAGUACCUGAUAAGUAGUUUUUCAGCCCUCUUCCUCCUUCUCACCCUUCACCCUCAAGUAGGCCCUGGUGUCUUUUGUUCCAUUCUUUGUGUUCAAAUGUUUAGCUCUCACAAGUGAGAACAUGUGAUAUUUGGUUUUCUGUUCCUGUGUUAGUUCACUCAGGAUAAUGGCCCCCAGCUCCAUCCAUGUUGCUGCAAAGAACAUGAUCUUGUUUCUUUUUAUGAUUGCAUAUUAUCCCAUAGGUUAUAUGUGUCACAUUUUCUUUAUCCAGUCUACUGUUGAUAGGCAUUUAGGUUGAUUCCAUGUCUUUGCUCUUGUGAAUAGUGCUGCAAUGAACAUAUGCGUAUAUGUGUCUUUAUGACAGAUCUAUUUAUAUUCCUCCUGGCAUAUCCCCAGUAAUAGGAUUGCUGGGUCAAAUAAGAAUUCUGUUUUAAGUUAUUUGAGAAAUUGCCACACUGUUUUCCACAAUUGCUGAACUAAUUUAUGUUCCCCCCAACAGUGUAUAAGCAUUCUCUUUUCUCUGCAACCUCACAAGCAUCUGUUAUUUUUUGACUUUUUAGUAAUAGCCAUUCUGACUGGUGUGAGAUGGUAUCUCAUUGUGGUUUUGAUUUUCAUUUCUCUAAUGAUCAGUGAUUUUAAGCAUCUUUCAUAUGCUUGUUCACUGUAUGUUUUCUUUUGAAAACUGUUUGUGUCUUUUGCCCACUUUUUAAUGGAGGCUGUUUGUUUUUUGCUUGUUAAUUUGAGUCCCUUAUAGAUUCUGGAUAUUAGACCUUUGUUGGAUGCAUAGUUUGCAAAUAUUUUCUCCCAUUCUGUAAGUUGCCCUUUUUACUCUAUUUGUUUCUUUUGCUGUCCUCAUCCACUCUUAAUUCUAUGAUAAUUUCUGAUGGCCAAAUAAUGUUUUACCUUCUUUAAGAUUGCUAUUUGUGUUGCUAAGAACAUCAGAGAUAAGAUCCUAAAUCUUUAGACUUGUUUCUUGAAGUAAGCAGAAAACAGUGGCUAGUGUGCACAAAAUUCACAUUUCCUAGAGAUGUAAAGAGCCUUAGAAGCUGUCCCCUCCUCAAAUACUUCCUGAUGGUUUUGUGUGUGCUGUGAGCUCUGGUGGGCAUUUUCACCUUUGUUGUUUCUCAUAAUUACCCUGUUAACAUUUAGGUUAUUAUCCUAGUUUUAUAGUUGAUAAAACCAAGGCCCAAAUAUGUGAAGUGACUUAUCAAGGAUUAAACAGAUGAAGAAGUGUCAUCAUUUUCUACUAAAUGAUAACCUGUGAUUUAUGAAUCAGAUUUCCCAUUUUAUAGAUGGUAAAACUAAGGCUCAGAUACAGAUGCUAAGUGAUAGAACCAGGAUACCGAUUCACUCUUUUGCUGGCCUACAAACCCUUUAUACUCUAUUCUUACCUCCCCAUCAUGUUCUACCUUUUUUCAGAUGAGAAAACUAAGGCAAAAAAAAAAAAAGAAAUCUCAAAUGUUUUUUCCCAUGUCAUAUAGAUAGACUGGUGGUGUUGAGUCUAGGCUCCAGAUUUUCUAUCUCCCACUCCACACCACCACCUAGCUGUCCUGCUCAGCAUGCUCAGAAUCUGUAGGACUCCAGCUGCCUUUUCCAAACCUGGUCGGUGCAAUGGCAUUCUCACUUUGACUGCAAAACUCCUCACCAAAUAUAAAACUGAAAAUGUAGGCCACCUGUCCAUGUGAUUGUAUUUCAUAACUUAGAGCUAAAAAUAGCUCUCAGCUUGCUUGGCCUGUAUAUAACAUAUUAAAAGCUCAAAUUCAAAUUCACUCGCAUCUUGGAUUAAUGUUAAGAUUAUGGCUUUCCAGACUUCUUUCUCUCACAUUCUAUCUCACCCAGCAGGGAAUGGAUUGUGCUUGUCCACAUUAUUUUCUAUGUGAAUUACUGAGCUCUUAUUUUCAAAGAUGAAUUUCGUGACCUUAUGCUCUUUGCUGUACCUGCAGAAUUCAUUUUGGAGGGCACAGACUCUAGAACCAGACAGCAGGGUAAGGCUGGGUAUCUGUGGCCAAGGCAUGAAAAUUUUGCCUUGAUUUCUUCAUCUGUGAAAUGGAGACGAAAUCAUACAUAUUUCCUGAGGCUGUUUUGAGAAGUAAACACACUAAUUCAUGGCUAGUGUUUAGCUAAAAUCUGGACACACACACAGAGUGGACAAAUAUGAUAAUUAAAAGCAAAAAUCAACAAAAUAAAAAAUCACCACCGCAUAGCAUGACCAAUUUGUCCUAGUUUGCCUGGAACAAUCUGUUUUCUCACUGAAAGCCCCAAAUCUCAGAAAAUUUCUUAAUUCUGGGCAAAUUGGAACGGUUGUUUACUCUAUUCACCACCAAUGAAACAAACAAAAGGUUCUGAGUAAUUCAUUUAUUCAAGAAGUGUUUAUUUAUAACUAAUAAAUUCUAGACAGUGUGAUGGUAUUUUAAAGGUAAACAUGACAAAAAUGUAUCCUCAUGGAACACUCAAGCUAAUGAGAGAGAAUUAUGAAAAUGGGAAAAUUGUAUAUGUGCUGUCCUGAAAACUGGCAUGAAAUGGACAAAGAGUGUAAUUCUGAGAUGCAUUGUAUUCAGUGGGACACAAUCCAGGAAUUUCAUGGAUUACACACUUCUGUCUAAUGCUACUUUUUUUUUUCCCCAAGCAAAAUGCUAUGGGGAGUUAACAGGGUUACAUAUGAAAAAGCUUUCCAUAAGCAGGUAAGUUAAACAGCUUGCUGUUACAUUACUACAGUACUUCUCAGCAUCUUUAAUAGCCUACUGAACACUUAAAUCUCAGAUGGGGAUGUUUUAAGUAUUAUUUCUGAACUUUUAGACUUUUCAACAACAUAGAAUUUUUUUAAAACUCAUGUGAUGGUACCAAUAUUCCGUAGGGCUUUGACAGAAGGAAAAUCUAAGUGGUAUUAGGCAUUGAACACAGAAAGCUCAAAGUAGGAAGAAAAGUGCCAAACCCCAACUCCUCAUAAAUAGAGACAGAAGUCAUGCUUCAGUCAUCAGAGCCAGAGCUGUGGUUCUUAACCGUUUUUCUUUUGGUUCAUGAGCCUUGUUUCAGAAUUUAAUGAGCACAUGGAUGCAUAGAGGAUAAGAAGCUUCAAUCAAGAGCCUUGAAAUUCACAGAGCAUGCUGAAGAGAUGCUAAGUCUUCUUAGGAAUUGAAAAAUCUUCUCUAAGUGAAUUUUGAUCCUUCCUAUCAGCAGAGAUGGAAAGAACCUGCAGACUGAAAUAAAUACUAACACAAGAAAGAAAUUCCACGUGUGGACUAGCAUGGGAUAAUAGUGUAGAAUGCAUAGAAGCAGGACUUAGAUGAAAUAUAGUAGUCACUUUCAUAUAUGGAGUGCUUACUAUUACAUGCUUUAUCUUAUUUAAUCAAGAGAUAUUUAUCCUGGUAUUUAGGCUGUGGCUUCUGAAAUCAGACUUCUUGGUUUUGAAUAUUGUUUUUGCCAUUUACUGGUGAUGCAACCUGGAAGAAAUUACUAAAAUACCUCUAAGUCUUGUAAUUCCCAUCUCUAAAGUAGCAAUCAUAAGACAGUAGUAUCUUUUUCAUCAGGCUUGUAGAGGUUUCAUGACAUAAUUGCUGCAGGCUGAUUUCUAACUCAUAGUAAAGCUCAGUAAAUAUUACCUAAUGUUUUUCAUAUUAUUAUUAGGUGGAUAUUAUUCUUAGCAUUUUCAUUUCAUGGAAGAGGUAACUGAGAACAGGAGUGAUCUAUAGCAGACUCUUCCUAUCAACCCCAUUUAGGGGUUCAUUAUUGGGGAGAAACAGGAAAGCAGUGUCAUAUAUUUCAGCCUCAUUUUUCUCUCAGAAGAAAUUAUAUUAAUAAAAUAAUGUUCUUGGUCUCUUUCUAAA